GCCACUGCUGUUGGGGUUCGGCUAAGCCAUGCAAGUGGAGGGCGUCCCGCAAGGGAUGGCCCCCGCAGACGGCUCAGUAACACGUCGUCAACCCACCUUAGGGUGGGGGACAACCUCGGGAAACUGAGGAUAAUCCCCCAUAGGCGGGGGAGGCUAGAAUGCGCCCCCGCUGAAAGCUCAGGCGCCCUAGGACGGGACGGCGGCCUAUCAGGUAGUUGGUGGUGUGACG
rnacentral:rRNA from 1 species